ACUCAAAUGAAUUGACGGGGGCCCGCACAAGCGGUGGAGCAUGUGGUUUAAUUCGAUGCAACGCGAAGAACCUUACCUGCCCUUGACAUCCACGGAAUCCUGCAGAGAUGCGGGAGUGCCGAGAGGAACCGUGAGACAGGUGCUGCAUGGCUGUCGUCAGCUCGUGUUGUGAGAUGUUGGGUUAAGUCCCGUAACGAGCGCAACCCCUGUUCCCAGUUGCCAGCGAGUAAAGUCGGGGACUCUGGGGAGACUGCCGGUGAUGAACCGGAGGAAGGCGGGGACGACGUCAAGUCAUCAUGGCCUUUAUGGGCAGGGCUACACACGUGCUACAAUGGGGCGUACAGAGGGAAGCCAACCCGCGAGGGGGAGCCGAUCCCACAAAGCGCCUCUUAGUCCGGACUGGAGUCUGCAACCCGACUCCACGAAGUCGGAAUCGCUAGUAAUCGCGAAUCAGAAUGUCGCGGUGAAUACGUUCCCGGGCCUUGCACACACCGCCCGU
rnacentral:rRNA from 1 species